rnacentral:lncRNA from 1 species
CUGAUUUAAAAUUCACUAGGAGAAAGGCAGUGCCUCCCAGCCUGAGCCGGGGCUCAAUGAAUGUUAAGAUAUGACUGAUUAUAUCCUCAUUCCAUUAGGGUAGCCAAAAAGGAAAAGAGCCAGCGCCAUUGGGACAAAGGUCACCGACCUCUCAAUCGCCCUGCCCCUUCCACAAAAAGCCUGAGAUGUCAAGUAGGUGGGGGAGGGAGGAGAGCCGGGAGCUCAGGAUUUGAGGAAGGCCAGGCAGUCUCUGCCCCUCGAAUAGCAACGCGAUGAGCUCAGCCCCCUCAGUCCAGGCCGAGAGCCAGAUGGGGGUCACGUGGCCGCGGGGCCCCCCGGGCGCAGGGUCCUCGGCACAGCUGACGGGUGCGCGCCGAGCUCCGCCGGGCGAAGGAAUUCCAGCCCCGCAAAAUGGCUCCAGAGUGUCUCCCGUGACUCGCUCGGUGGCUGCGGAAGGCAAGAGGGAAUAUCAACAAAGUGAAGCUGUUUUCUCCUCACUGCAUCCCGUCAGGACAAUUCUUCACUGAUUAAAAUCUGGUUACAAAACAAGGGACCUAGAGAGAUGUUCACUUCACCACUUCUCUACAGAUGCCUCCUGCUGCUUCCAACUUUUCUCCUUUAAGGCAGGGUGAAUCCAAAUCAUGGUCUUAGCCCUGAAGGAGGCACCAAAGCAGUUUCGUUGCCCUGUGAAAAGCUUCUAGAGGAGCUCAUCUGAAUGCUUGAAGAAACCAGCCGCCCUUGCAAUUACCUAAAAGGAAUUGAGUCAUUUUAACAAGACAUUAUUUCUGCCAUCCACGGUCACAAUCAUCUCUUUGAAAAAUAAAUACUCUUGGUUUGUUGU